AGAUGAGAAGGCGAUCUGGCUGCGACAUCUGUCACCCCAUUGAUCGCCAGGGUUGAUCUGGCUGGCUAGGCGGGUGUCCUCUUCCUCCCUCACUGAUCCAUGUGCAUCCCUCCCAAAACUGCGCGCUCAGACCUUCCCCCGAGAGGAGAGGACCGGUCUUUGGUCAAGGGUAUACAAGUAGCUGCGCUCUCCAGCUAGAACCUCCAAAAAAACAGCUCUAAAACAGCAGUUCUCAACCUGUGAGUCGCGACCCCUUUAGAGGUCGAAUGAACCUUUCACAGGGGUUGGCUAAGAUCAUCGGAAAACACAUAUAUAAUUACAUAUUGUUUUUGUGAUUAAU
rnacentral:snRNA from 1 species